rnacentral:rRNA from 1 species
UACGUAGGGCGCAAGCGUUGUCCGGAAUCAUUGGGCGUAAAGCGCGCGUAGGUGGCCUCAUAAGUCCGCUGUGAAAGUCAAAGGCUCAACCUUUGAAAGCCGGUGGAUACUGUGAGGCUAGAGUACGGAAGAGGCGAGUGGAAUUCCUGGUGUAGCGGUGGAAUGCGCAGAUAUCAGGAGGAACACCAAUAGCGAAGGCAGCUCGCUGGGACGGUACUGACGCUGAGGCGCGAAAGCGUGGGGAGCGAACAGG